GAAUUGCGAUAAGUAAUGUGAAUUGCAGAAUUACGUGAAUCAUCGAAUUUUUGAACGCAUAUUGCGCUCUCUGGCAAUCCGGGGAGCAUGCCUGUUUGAGGGUCAGUAAAAAUAAUAAAAUCUAUCAUGAUUUCAUAAUUUUUUUGUGGAAUCAUGGAAUUGGGCUUUUCAAACUUUUUUAAGUUUUGAUGGUCUUAAAUUUUUUUACAUAUGGUUUGCACAAAUUGAACUAAAAGAGCAAUUAUUUUUAUAAAAUAUUCUCUCAAUUGGUGAUAUUUGUUUUAGCAAUUGCCAAUUUUAUGAUAUUUUGUCCGUAGGUCAAAAGUCAUAAGACCUUCAUUUUUUUAAAUAAUGACCUCAAAUCAGGUAGGAGUACCCGCUGAACUUAA
rnacentral:misc_RNA from 1 species